rnacentral:rRNA from 1 species
UACAGAGGUCCCAAGCGUUGUUCGGAUUCACUGGCGUAAAGGGUGCGCAGGUGGGUUUGCAAGUUCGAUGUGAAAGCCCCGGGCUUAACCCGGGAAUGGCAUUGGAUACUGCAGAUCUGGAGGAUCGGAGGGGGGACUGGAAUUCUUGGUGUAGCAGUGAAAUGCGUAGAUAUCAAGAGGAACACCAGUGGCGAAGGCGAGUCCCUGGACGAUACCUGACACUGAGGCACGAAAGCUAGGGGAGCAAACAGG